UGGGUGGUUAGUGGGGACUCUCACACUAA
rnacentral:piRNA from 1 species